ACGUCAACACAGCGUGACUCCUGGAACUAGCUGCGUUCAUUUUAGUAGCUGCAGCGGCUCUUCUUCUAUCACCUUGUUCGACCAGUCGUGCGCAUUCCGCCGCAUCUUUCACCGUCACCUCUCUCAAACCUCCAGCCACGUAACUCAGCAGGGCCAAGUAUCUCAUUUCCGCGCUGGCCGUCGACGUAGCCUCGAAGAUGUGGUCUAAAACAAAUUCUGUAGUCGAUUCCGGACCGAAGGCGGCGUCAAAUUGGUACACCUUGCCGUUUCCGGGGCCUGCGGCUGCUGGACACUCGAGCGUGCAGCAUUUUGACGCAGAAUCGAUCGUUACCACGUUCUGCGCAGGUGAAAAUACGAUAGCUCUUUCAUAGCUGUCAAAGUUAAAAAAUUGACGACUGUUUAGCAGUAUAUAACGAAAGAAUGCGAAGACGCAGAGGGAAUAGAAAGAAAAGGAUAGAGACGCGAAAAGUAACGAGGAUCGGAGAAAGAAUGGAGAAGAAAUAAAAGAGGCUAGAACCGAGGAAGAAGAGCGCAAUGGUGUGUAAUAUCGCGUGUAAUAAUGUAAGAUCAAAAUACAGAUAUAGCGCGAUAUACUGCAGCAUAAAUUAAGGUCACUGUACAUUUACGAAACACCGUGACUUGGAAAAAUAUGUUUUCUUAAGUUCGUAGUGUGCAUGCAUGUAGGUUUCCGUUGUGCAAAUAUUUUUCUGUUUAGUCGAUUUUUAAAAGCGAACUACGUGUAUAAAAGAGGAUAAAUGUUCGCAAAUGUUCCUGCCUUUAUUAAUAACAAGUUUUUGUAAAUUUCAUCCGAGCGGAAUAUCGAUCGAGCAAAAGACUUUGCGUUUGAAAUUAAAACCUAUAACCGCACUCCCGUAAUUUACAAGUAACGCGCGCAAGAACGAUUAAAGUUAUUUAAUUUUUUUAUAAAACUAAUUGAUCGACCAACCACUGAACAAUAGCGUUGUAUCGCGACACCUCUCUAUACUCGUUAAGCAAAAACUAUCUGUGUAAUGUGGUUAUUAUUUGCAACGUCGGUUGAGCGAUAGUUCGUAGUUCAUACUCAUAUCGAUUGAAUUUCGCGGAAAUAAUAAUAAAACGCAAUUGUCGCUUCUUCCUGUUUCAGUAUUCUAACUAAAUUAUCGAUUCGGGCUUGUUUUCUCAUUUUCCAUUCGAUACAUCGAGUAAAUAAGUUUCAGAGAUAUAAUUGAAAGCCAGCUGCUACGCUAGAUGGAUGACCGCGAUACUUUUAGAUCUGUCAAGUACUCUGAUUAAAAUUUCCGUAGUGACACGUGAUUCAACAACGUUGGUCGAGAGUUAAAUCUGAUAUAAUAAAAUGAAAUGAAAUUAAAAUUGUAGAGCGGGGUAUGAUCCAACAAAAUAUUAAUUAACAAUUAAACUUGACACAAUAAAUACUCUAAAUGCAUCGGACAGCAAAAUAUGAAAUAACGAAUAUUUUUCCUGAUAAUUCCUGUAUCUUAAAUUAUUUCUAUACAUUUCUAUAUUCGUACGUAUAUUCGUACGUAUAUUCCUACAUUAUCAAACUUGAUAAAAUUGAACGAAUACAGCGCACAAAUUCUUUUAACAAAGUUAACAUUCUAUGCUUCUUAUGUAAUGAAAAGCAAACGUAAAUACAAUUAAAAGAAAAGAAAA